rnacentral:rRNA from 1 species
AGAGUUUGAUCCUGGCUCAGAUUGAACGCUGGCGGCAUGCCUUACACAUGCAAGUCGAACGGCAGCGCGGGAGCAAUCCUGGCGGCGAGUGGCGAACGGGUGAGUAAUACAUCGGAACGUGCCCAAUCGUGGGGGAUAACGCAGCGAAAGCUGUGCUAAUACCGCAUACGAUCUACGGAUGAAAGCAGGGGAUCGCAAGACCUUGCGCGACUGGAGCGGCCGAUGGCAGAUUAGGUAGUUGGUGGGGUAAAGGCUCACCAAGCCUGCGAUCUGUAGCUGGUCUGAGAGGACGACCAGCCACACUGGGACUGAGACACGGCCCAGACUCCUACGGGAGGCAGCAGUGGGGAAUUUUGGACAAUGGGCGCAAGCCUGAUCCAGCCAUGCCGCGUGCAGGAUGAAGGCCUUCGGGUUGUAAACUGCUUUUGUACGGAACGAAAAGUCUCUUUCUAAUAAAGAGGGAUCAUGACGGUACCGUAAGAAUAAGCACCGGCUAACUACGUGCCAGCAGCCGCGGUAAUACGUAGGGUGCAAGCGUUAAUCGGAAUUACUGGGCGUAAAGCGUGCGCAGGCGGUUAUGUAAGACAGUUGUGAAAUCCCCGGGCUCAACCUGGGAACUGCAUCUGUGACUGCAUAGCUAGAGUACGGUAGAGGGGGAUGGAAUUCCGCGUGUAGCAGUGAAAUGCGUAGAUAUGCGGAGGAACACCGAUGGCGAAGGCAAUCCCCUGGACCUGUACUGACGCUCAUGCACGAAAGCGUGGGGAGCAAACAGGAUUAGAUACCCUGGUAGUCCACGCCCUAAACGAUGUCAACUGGUUGUUGGGUCUUCACUGACUCAGUAACGAAGCUAACGCGUGAAGUUGACCGCCUGGGGAGUACGGCCGCAAGGUUGAAAACUCAAAGGAAUUGACGG